rnacentral:lncRNA from 1 species
AGUCGCCGCAGGCGCUUCAGCCCAGCGGCGGGCCUUGGCCCUUGGCUGCCUACUCCUACCGCCCCAGCCCCGGGCGGCCCUGGGCCUGCUGCGGGCGCGGCGCUGCCCGACCAGAGCUUCCUGUGGAACGUCUUCCAGAGGGUCGAUAAAGACAGGAGUGGAGUGAUAUCAGACACCGAGCUUCAGCAAGCUCUCUCCAACGGAUGAAGCUCCACCCGCCCUUCAGGAUGCAAAGCCCUCCUCUAUAAAGUGCAUGCGGGGCCAGAUGCAGUGGCUCACAUCUGACCUCCCAACACUUUGGGAGGCCGAGGCAGGGGGAUCGCUUGAGCCCAGGAGUUUGAGACCAGCCUGGACAACAUUGUGAGACCCUGUUCCUUGAAUUGCCCUGGGAGAUUUCCUCAGCUUGUACUGGAGGCGAUGAAGCCCCACCCGCCCUUCAGGAUGCCAGCCUUGGCAACAUCGUGAGACCCUGUUUCUACAAAAACUAAACAAGUGUAGUGGUGCACGCCUGUAUUCCCAGCUACUUGGGAGGCUGAGAUGGGAAGAUCACUUGAGCCUGGGAGGUUGAGGCUGCAUUGAGCUGAGAUCAAGCCACGGCACUCCAGCCUGGGAGACAGAGCGAAACCCCAUCUCAAAAAAACAAAGAAAGUGGAUGCGUGCUGCUCCUGCCAUUGGAUCAUCGCAGCAUUUUUCUUUUCUCUGAUAUGCGCCUUUUUCCUCAUCGUGGGGGCUCAUGUUUUCGUAAUUCCCUCUCGCUACUAGAUUGUGAGCUGUGUGAAGGAAGGUUCAUAGUUGAGUUGUAUGUACAGGCACACAAAAUUUGUCCUUGGAUAGACACAUAUCAAUCCACUUCCUUCUCCUCUCUGAAUUUCUUUAUUUAAAAAAAAAAGUAGAGAUGGAGUCUCACUGUCUUGCCCAGGCUGGUGUCAAACUCCUAGGCUCAAGUGAUCCUCCCACCUCUACUAAUAUGAAUUAUUAGGCUAUGCUAAUAUGAAUUUGUAUACUAAUAUGAUUGAAAUUAGUUUGACUUCUAUAAUAAUUGUUCUCCCAGAUUGGGCUUCUGUUUUGAUAGUAGAACUAAAUUAUUAGGCUAUUUCAAGAAAUUAAUAUAUUACUGGUAGAAAAACUGAAGCUACAAAAUGGCCUGGUUUCUCACUUCAGUUAAAUUUGUGCUUCUGAGUGCUUGUAUUCUAGGUGAAACCGCACUGAGAAGGUAUUUGUGGCCUAUACGCUGAUUCAUUGAUUAGACUUCUUUGCACAGGAGAGCUGCUAAAAAUUACUGCGGUGAACAGGUACGAAGAAAAAGACUGUUCUCUGCCCUUCUUUUUGCAAUAAAAUGUUACAAACUA